UGCCGCGAGGCACGCUGGGAGUCGUAGGCGAACCGCCUUGCCGCAAGGCACGCUGGGAGUUGUAGUCCAGUCCGCCCGCCCCGCGCCUUCCCGCCUCACUCGCGGAAGCGACGCCAUCUUGAGCGCUGAGGCGAGGGGCCCCGGCCCGGCGAUGGCGGCGAGGAGGAGGAUGGCGAGGGGCAAGAGGUGGAGGCAGAAGUAGAUGGAAGCCCAGUAGCUCAGCGUGGCCGCGGCGUCUCGCAGCACGAAGCCCAUGCACAGAGCCAGCCCACGUAGAAGCGCAUGCGGAAGGCGAAGAAGACGGGAACCAUGUAGAAAAGGCGGAAAGCGAAGGGAUGUCGAGCGAAGCCGGGAUCUCGCACCGCGUCCAGCGGGAAGAACCGUGACGCCGCCUCGCCCAGCGCCCCCAGCACCGGCGUCCAACGCACGUGGGUCAGCACCCGGCGCCACCGCGGAGCCGCCACCGGGCCCAGCACCCAGUCCCGGAAACCAAUGGGGAUGGAGAAGAGCAGCACGGACAGAUCCCUCUCGAGCCUCUGGAUCCCCCCCAAACCGCUGGGGACCCCCCCCCAAGUCCCGGUGCCCCCUCAGAGAGCGCCGGGCGUGGGCGGUAGCGCGGCGUGAGGGGGCGUGACCAGCGCUUGACCACGCCCAUUCACUGUAUCGACCGAGGAAGGGGCGGGGGCCAAGGCGUGACCACGCCCAUCACAGAGUCAUUCAAUACGGAAGGAGGCGGGGUCAGGACUUGGCCACGCCCCACACCGGGUUAUU